CCCCUGAAAGAGCAAACACAAGGAGAGUGAAACUGGGGAAGCUUUCAAGAUGGAAACCAGGAGGGAAAGGACUCAAGCGUGGGAAGGGAGCCAUAAGGAAAUGCUCAAGGCACCUGACUGCAUGAGCCCCCCAUAAACGACGACUGUGCCCACCUACAUAGCCAAUACCUGUGCCUCUCCACUCCACCCACAUCCCUCAGGCUAUACCCACAGAAGGGAAAUGUCACCUGGGGUCAGGGUAAAACACAUAAGGAAUGCUGUGAGUCCUUGAGUUUAUCAUACUAUCACAUGAUGUCAUUAACAUUUGUUGUCAUAAGAAUGAUUUUAUACACUAUGCAAGAGGCCAUAAACUUACUAAGUAUAAGUACAUAUUAUGUACAUGUUAGGCUUAACCUCUUUCUUUCUUUCUUUCUUUCUUUCUUUCUUUCUUUCUUUCUUUCCAUGAAUGAAAACAAAACCUUCCAAGAAACAAUGUGUCUCAGGUCCUUCUUGACUCUGGAGACUGCAGUCACCUCCCUAUCACAGCCUGGAUGACCUUUCCCUCUGACACCUGGACUCUCCCCUAAGGCUUCCUCGGGGAAGUCAUCUCCUCACACCCAUGCAUAGGGGAAACUCUCCAACAAUUCAUCACCAGGCUGACAACACCACAGAUGUCAAUCAGGUUUCCCAGGGCACUCAAUGAGACCAUCCCCUCAAAGCUCUGAAGCCCCCAAGGCCCCUGUUUCCCUGUGGGACUGACACCUCCACUGCAGGGACAGUCCUCCCUGAGCACAGACCAAGCAGAGAGCACACGUGGAGAAAUGCAUUCAAAGACAACCGCAGUGCACGCUGGGAAGAAGCACAGACAGGAAGUGCUCAGACCUGCCAGCCCUCACUGGAAAGGGGCAGACUGGGCUGGGGGAAUCCGGAUCCUUGGGAAGCUUCAAGAGGGAAAGAGGGCAGGAGUCACCUAACCUGAAGUCACUCUAUGUCCAAGAGAGAAAAACAACUUACACAGACCAUGUCUUGGGAACUAGAGCUGGCCAUUCUUCUUCAGGCUUCCUCCCCUGGGGGACAAAAAGAAAGCCAUUCACUGCAUUGUGACUUGAUGUUCCCAGGCUGACUUCUGUCACUGUGAUGUCAUCGACUACACUUAUUUCUCAAGCCUCCCCACUCACUCUCUCCCCUCCCACCGCUCACAGCCUCCCACACACAAAUUGGAAGCACACAGGAGUCUACACAAAGCUGAUCACCUCCUAACCCAGACAACCCACGGCCAAGGGGGCAGUGUGGGAGUGCAGGGCACAAACAUAUCUGCCUUGAACUCCUCCAGAAGAGGCCAGCAGAAGGGAUCCAUCUUCCACCCUGAGCUCCAGCUCGCCCUGCACCUGGGCCGCUCCUCCUACUGUGCGCAGAUCUCAGAUCUUCCUACUGGAACCCCACCUAUCAAGGCUCACAGGGGCUCACAGCAUCCAGGUGGCCCCUCCUGUGUAAACUCAGGGCUGAAGCACAGCGAGGCUGGAGGGGCUGCAGCUGUGAUGCUCAGGCAGCGUCCAGCAUUCUGUGCCCACUGUUAGUGAAUGGGACUGUGCACCAUGGACCACUCUCCUGAGAACCUUCCCUCAUCUAUGAUAACACUUAUGUUGUCUCAAGCCAUGAUCCUUUAUGAAGAUAAUUAGCUGUAAAACAUCCUGUCACAGGAGGUUCUCAUUUUGUAGCACACCCCUCCUGGAACUUGCUAUGUGGAUCAAACUGAUCCUUAAUUUACAAUGAUCCUCCUGCUUCUGCCUCCCAAAAUGCUGAGAUUAAAAUGUACACUGUACAGACUAGA